AGAGUUUGAUCCUGGCUCAGGACGAACGCUGGCGGCGUGCCUAAUACAUGCAAGUCGAGCGGACAGAUGGGAGCUUGCUCCCUGAUGUUAGCGGCGGACGGGUGAGUAACACGUGGGUAACCUGCCUGUAAGACUGGGAUAACUCCGGGAAACCGGGGCUAAUACCGGAUGGUUGUUUGAACCGCAUGGUUCAAACAUAAAAGGUGGCUUCGGCUACCACUUACAGAUGGACCCGCGGCGCAUUAGCUAGUUGGUGAGGUAACGGCUCACCAAGGCAACGAUGCGUAGCCGACCUGAGAGGGUGAUCGGCCACACUGGGACUGAGACACGGCCCAGACUCCUACGGGAGGCAGCAGUAGGGAAUCUUCCGCAAUGGACGAAAGUCUGACGGAGCAACGCCGCGUGAGUGAUGAAGGUUUUCGGGUCGUAAAGCUCUGUUGUUAGGGAAGAACAAGUACCGUUCGAAUAGGGCGGUACCUUGACGGUACCUAACCAGAAAGCCACGGCUAACUACGUGUCAGCAGCCGCGGUAAUACGUAGGUGGCAAGCGUUGUCCGGAAUUAUUGGGCGUAAAGGGCUCGCAGGCGGUUUCUUAAGUCUGAUGUGAAAGCCCCCGGCUCAACCGGGGAGGGUCAUUGGAAACUGGGGAACUUGAGUGCAGAAGAGGAGAGUGGAAUUCCACGUGUAGCGGUGAAAUGCGUAGAGAUGUGGAGGAACACCAGUGGCGAAGGCGACUCUCUGGUCUGUAACUGACGCUGAGGAGCGAAAGCGUGGGGAGCGAACAGGAUUAGAUACCCUGGUAGUCCACGCCGUAAACGAUGAGUGUUAAGUGUUAGGGGGUUUCCGCCCCUUAGUGCUGCAGCUAACGCAUUAAGCACUCCGCCUGGGGAGUACGGUCGCAAGACUGAAACUCAAAGGAAUUGACGGGGGCCCGCACAAGCGGUGGAGCAUGUGGUUUAAUUCGAAACAACGCGAAGAACCUUACCAGGUCUUGACAUCCUCUGACAAUCCUAGAGAUAGGACGUCCCCUUCGGGGGCAGAGUGACAGGUGGUGCAUGGUUGUCGUCAGCUCGUGUCGUGAGAUGUUGGGUUAAGUCCCGCAACGAGCGCAACCCUUGAUCUUAGUUGCCAGCAUUCAGUUGGGCACUCUAAGGUGACUGCCGGUGACAAACCGGAGGAAGGUGGGGAUGACGUCAAAUCAUCAUGCCCCUUAUGACCUGGGCUACACACGUGCUACAAUGGACAGAACAAAGGGCAGCGAAACCGCGAGGUUAAGCCAAUCCCACAAAUCUGUUCUCAGUUCGGAUCGCAGUCUGCAACUCGACUGCGUGAAGCUGGAAUCGCAAGUAAUCGCGGAUCAGCAUGCCGCGGUGAAUACGUUCCCGGGCCUUGUACACACCGCCCGUCACACCACGAGAGUUUGUAACACCCGAAGUCGGUGAGGUAACCUUUUAGGAGCCAGCCGCCGAAGGUGGGACAGAUGAUUGGGGUGAAGUCGAAACAAGGUA
rnacentral:rRNA from 1 species